AACGAACGCUGGCGGCAUGCCUAACACAUGCAAGUCGAACGAGACCUUCGGGUCUAGUGGCGCACGGGUGCGUAACGCGUGGGAACCUGCCCUUAGGUUCGGAAUAACUCCCCGAAAGGGGUGCUAAUACCGGAUAAUGUCUUCGGACCAAAGAUUUAUCGCCUUUGGAUGGGCCCGCGUUGGAUUAGCUAGUUGGUAGGGUAAAAGCCUACCAAGGCGACGAUCCAUAGCUGGUCUGAGAGGAUGAUCAGCACACUGGGACUGAGACACGGCCCAGACUCCUACGGGAAGCAGCAGUGGGGAAUAUUGGACAAUGGGCGAAAGCCUGAUCCAGCAAUGCCGCGUGAGUGAUGAAGGCCUUAGGGUUGUAAAGCUCUUUUACCCGGGAUGAUAAUGACAGUACCGGGAGAAUAAGCUCCGGCUAACUCCGUG
rnacentral:rRNA from 1 species